CUACGGGCUGCACCAGUGAGGAAUAUUGCACAAUGGGGGGAACCCUGAUGCAGCAACGCCGCGUGGAGGAUGACGCAUUUCGGUGUGUAAACUCCUUUUAUAUGUCAAGAAAAUGACGGUAGCAUAUGAAUAAGCGCCGGCUAACUCCGUGCCAGCAGCCGCGGUAAUACGGAGGGCGCAAGCGUUACUCGGAAUCACUGGGCGUAAAGGACGCGUAGGCGGGUUGAAAAGUCAGGUGUGAAAGCCUACAGCUUAACUGUAGAACUGCACUUGAAACUCUCAAUCUAGAGUAUGGGAGGGGCAGAUGGAAUUAGUGGUGUAGGGGUAAAAUCCGUAGAUAUCACUAGGAAUACCUAAAGCGAAGGCGAUCUGCUGGAACAUUACUGACGCUAAGGCGUGAAAGCGUGGGGAGCAAACAGGAUUAGAUACCCCUGUAGUC
rnacentral:rRNA from 1 species